ACGGGUGAGUAACGCGUGGGUAACCUGCCUCAUACAGGGGGAUAACAGUUGGAAACGACUGUUAAUACCGCAUAAGACCACAGCACCGCAUGGUGCAGGGGUAAAAACUCCGGUGGUAUGAGAUGGACCCGCGUUCGAUUAGCCAGUUGGCGGGGUAACGGCCCACCAAAGCGACGAUCGAUAGCCGAUCUGAGAGGAUGACCGGCCACAUUGGGACUGAGACACGGCCCAAACUCCUACGGGAGGCAGCAGUGGGGAAUAUUGCACAAUGGGGGAAACCCUGAUGCAGCGACGCCGCGUGAGUGAAGAAGUAUUUCGGUAUGUAAAGCUCUAUCAGCAGGGAAGAUAAUGACAGUACCUGACUAAGAAGCCCCGGCUAACUACGUGCCAGCAGCCGCGGUAAUACGUAGGGGGCAAGCGUUAUCCGGAUUUACUGGGUGUAAAGGGAGCGUAGACGGAAUGGCAAGUCUGAAGUGAAAUACCCGGGCUCAACCUGGGAACUGCUUUGGAAACUGUUGUUCUAGAGUGUUGGAGAGGUAAGUGGAAUUCCUGGUGUAGCGGUGAAAUGCGUAGAUAUCAGGAAGAACACCGGAGGCGAAGGCGGCUUACUGGACAAUAACUGACGUUGAGGCUCGAAAGCGUGGGGAUCAAACAGGAUUAGAUACCCUGGUAGUCCACGCUGUAAAC
rnacentral:rRNA from 1 species